ACGAAGCAUGCCGGAGGAAGUUUUCGGAUGGAAUCCGGGAUGACUGAGUGGCGGACGGGUGAGUAACGCGUGGGUAACCUGCCCUGUACAGGGGGACAACAGUUAGAAAUGACUGCUAAUACCGCAUAAGCGCACAGGACCGCAUGGUCCGGUGUGAAAAACUCCGGUGGUACAGGAUGGACCCGCGUCUGAUUAGGUAGUUGGCGGGGUAACGGCCCACCAAGCCGACGAUCAGUAGCCGACCUGAGAGGGUGACCGGCCACAUUGGGACUGAGACACGGCCCAAACUCCUACGGGAGGCAGCAGUGGGGAAUAUUGCACAAUGGGGGGAACCCUGAUGCAGCGACGCCGCGUGAGUGAAGAAGUAUUUCGGUAUGUAAAGCUCUAUCAGCAGGGAAGAAAAUGACGGUACCUGACUAAGAAGCCCCGGCUAACUACGUGCCAGCAGCCGCGGUAAUACGUAGGGGGCAAGCGUUAUCCGGAUUUACUGGGUGUAAAGGGAGCGUAGACGGCAGAGCAAGUCUGAAGUGAAAGCCCGCGGCCCAACUGCGGGACUGCUUUGGAAACUGCCCGGCUAGAGUGCUGGAGAGGUAAGCGGAAUUCC
rnacentral:rRNA from 1 species